CGAGCACGCGCGUGUGGCAUAUCAAUAAGCGGAGGAAAAGAAACUAACAAGGAUUCCCCUAGUAACGGCGAGUGAAGCGGGAAGAGCUCAAAUUUGAAAUCUUCAAGGUUCUACCUUGACGAAUUGUAGUUUAUAGAAGUGUUUUCUGUUAGUGGAGUGGCAAAAGUUCUUUGGAAUAGGACAUCAUAGAGGGUGAGAAUCCCGUAUUUGGUCAUUCCUCCUAGCGUUGUGAUACACUUUCAACGAGUCGGAUUGUUUGGGAAUGCAGUCCAAAAUGGGUGGUAAAUUUCAUCUAAAGCUAAAUAUUGGCGAGAGACCGAUAGCGAACAAGUACCGUGAGGGAAAGAUGAAAAGAACUUUGGAAAGAGAGUUAAACAGUACGUGAAAUUGUCAAAAGGGAAGCGUUUGACACCAGUGUUGUUUUUCCGAAAAUCAAUUACGAAUGUUUUGUUUUUGAGAAGUUACGACUUCAUCGGCUUGCUUCUCUCUUUACGAAACGUUCUCAAUGCACUUUUCGGUUAACAAGUCUACAUCAAUUUCUUUUGUUGUAAAAGGGUACGAGGAAGGUGGCUUUCUUUUCGGAGAAAGUGUUUAUAGCCUUGUACCUAUACAAUCGGAGAGAUUGAGGUCUGCAGCGUAGAUCCUUCGGGGUUAGAUACAGUUUGUGCUAAGUUAUAGCUUUUCAUAGACAACUUGUUGACUAUGUUUAGUCUUGUAGCUUACUCGCUGACUGCUAUUUUACCUACGCUUAGGAUGUUGAUGUGAUACUGCGAGCA
rnacentral:rRNA from 1 species